GAAUAUUGGACAAUGGGGGGAACCCUGAUCCAGCCAUGCCGCGUGUGUGAAGAAGGCCUUUUGGUUGCAAAGCACUUUAAGCGAGGUGGAGGCUACUCUAGUUAAUACCUAGCGAUAGUGGACGUUACUCGCAGAAUAAGCACCGGCAAACUCUGUCCGAUCCGCCGCGGUAAUACAGAGGGUGCAAGCGUUGAUCGGAUUUACUGGGCGUAAAGCGCGCGUAGGUGGCCAAUUAAGUCAAAUGUGAAAUCCCCGAGCUUAACUUGGGAAUUGCAUUCGAUACUGGUUGGCUAGAGUAUGGGAGAGGAUGGUAGAAUUCCAGGUGUAGCGGUGAGAUGCGUAGAGAUCUGGAGGAAUACCGAUGGCGAAGGCAGCCAUCUGGCCUAAUACUGACACUGAGGUGCGAAAGCAUGGGGAGCAAACA
rnacentral:rRNA from 1 species